rnacentral:lncRNA from 1 species
GUUCUACCUUUAGGAAAUAUAAUUUAGCUUUAAAGUUGUCACUAUUAAGAUGAGAUUUAAUUUGAAGUCUUCGGGGCUCUACUAGAUAAUGUGAUUUAGCUAUUAAAAUUCUUAGAGGUCUGUAGGUAACAUGAUCCGAUUAACACUCACAAAUAUGCCCAGAUUUCAAACUGGGGCAGAAAAAUUUCUUUUGUUUUGUCUAUUUUGUUGUAAUAGUAGGCGCCCACCUGGAGAACAAGGGAAUACAUUU